rnacentral:rRNA from 1 species
CAGGCUUAACACAUGCAAGUCGAGGGGCAGCAUGGUCUUAGCUUGCUAAGGCCGAUGGCGACCGGCGCACGGGUGAGUAACACGUAUCCAACCUGCCGUCUACUCUUGGACAGCCUUCUGAAAGGAAGAUUAAUACAAGAUGGCAUCAUGAGUCCGCAUGUUCACAUGAUUAAAGGUAUUCCGGUAGACGAUGGGGAUGCGUUCCAUUAGAUAGUAGGCGGGGUAACGGCCCACCUAGUCUUCGAUGGAUAGGGGUUCUGAGAGGAAGGUCCCCCACAUUGGAACUGAGACACGGUCCAAACUCCUACGGGAGGCAGCAGUGAGGAAUAUUGGUCAAUGGGCGAGAGCCUGAACCAGCCAAGUAGCGUGAAGGAUGACUGCCCUAUGGGUUGUAAACUUCUUUUAUAAAGGAAUAAAGUUGGGUAUGGAUACCCGUUUGCAUGUACUUUAUGAAUAAGGAUCGGCUAACUCCGUGCCAGCAGCCGCGGUAAUACGGAGGAUCCGAGCGUUAUCCGGAUUUAUUGGGUUUAAAGGGAGCGUAGAUGGAUGUUUAAGUCAGUUGUGAAAGUUUGCGGCUCAACCGUAAAAUUGCAGUUGAUACUGGAUAUCUUGAGUGCAGUUGAGGCAGGCGGAAUUCGUGGUGUAGCGGUGAAAUGCUUAGAUAUCACGAAGAACUCCGAUUGCGAAGGCAGCCUGCUAAGCUGCAACUGACAUUGAGGCUCGAAAGUGUGGGUAUCAAACAGGAUUAGAUACCCUGGUAGUCCACACGGUAAACGAUGAAUACUCGCUGUUUGCGAUAUACUGCAAGCGGCCAAGCGAAAGCGUUAAGUAUUCCACCUGGGGAGUACGCCGGCAACGGUGAAACUCAAAGGAAUUGACGGGGGCCCGCACAAGCGGAGGAACAUGUGGUUUAAUUCGAUGAUACGCGAGGAACCUUACCCGGGCUUAAAUUGCAGAUGAAUUACGGUGAAAGCCGUAAGCCGCAAGGCAUCUGUGAAGGUGCUGCAUGGUUGUCGUCAGCUCGUGCCGUGAGGUGUCGGCUUAAGUGCCAUAACGAGCGCAACCCUUGUUGUCAGUUACUAACAGGUUCCGCUGAGGACUCUGACAAGACUGCCAUCGUAAGAUGUGAGGAAGGUGGGGAUGACGUCAAAUCAGCACGGCCCUUACGUCCGGGGCUACACACGUGUUACAAUGGGGGGUACAGAGGGCCGCUACCACGCGAGUGGAUGCCAAUCCCCAAAACCUCUCUCAGUUCGGACUGGAGUCUGCAACCCGACUCCACGAAGCUGGAUUCGCUAGUAAUCGCGCAUCAGCCACGGCGCGGUGAAUACGUUCCCGGGCCUUGUACACACCGCCCGUCAAGCCAUGGGAGCCGGGGGUACCUGAAGUGCGUAACCGCGAGGAGCGCCCUAGGGUAAAACUGGUGACUGGGGCUAAGUCGU